rnacentral:rRNA from 1 species
UAAAGCGUGCGCAGGCGGUUUUGUAAGUUUGUCGUGAAAGCCCCGGGCUCAACCUGGGAAUUGCGAUGAAGACUGCAAGGCUUGAAUCUGGCAGAGGGGGGUAGAAUUCCACGUGUAGCAGUGAAAUGCGUAGAGAUGUGGAGGAACACCGAUGGCGAAGGCAGCCCCCUGGGUCAAGAUUGACGCUCAUGCACGAAAGCGUGGGGAGCAAACAGGAUUAGAUACCCUGU